CGUAGACUCCUACGGGAGGCAGCAGUGGGGAAUAUUGGACAAUGGGCGCAAGCCUGAUCCAGCCAUGCCGCGUGAGUGAUGAAGGCCCUAGGGUUGUAAAGCUCUUUCACCGGUGAAGAUAAUGACGGUAACCGGAGAAGAAGCCCCGGCUAACUUCGUGCCAGCAGCCGCGGUAAUACGAAGGGGGCUAGCGUUGUUCGGAUUUACUGGGCGUAAAGCGCACGUAGGCGGACUAUUAAGUCAGGGGUGAAAUCCCGGGGCUCAACCCCGGAACUGCCUUUGAUACUGGUAGUCUUGAGUUCGAGAGAGGUGAGUGGAAUUCCGAGUGUAGAGGUGAAAUUCGUAGAUAUUCGGAGGAACACCAGUGGCGAAGGCGGCUCACUGGCUCGAUACUGACGCUGAGGUGCGAAAGCGUGGGGAGCAAACAGGAUUAGAUACCCCAGUAGUCCC
rnacentral:rRNA from 1 species